UUUGUAUUUGUUUAUUUAUAUAGUUGCAUUAUUUGUUGUUUUUCAGGUAUAUUUUUCAGGUCGGCUAUUCUGAAGGUACUUUUGUAGCAGCUAAUUUUGAGUCCGUCGUAGCUGUGAUGCCGUGGUUUAUUGGGUUCUUAGUUUGCGAUUAAUCUGGAGGUACAUUUGUUGCAGCUCAUAUUGAGGCCGUCGCUGCUAGGAUCACGUGGUUUUGAUUUCUUUACGUUUGCGGUUAAUCUGGAGUUAAGUAUUACGUUUGUUGUUAUAAUUGCUUUUAUAUUUGUUUAAUUUGUUUAAUUUUUCAGGUACGUUUGUAGCAGCUAAUAUUAAGGCCGACGCAAAUGGGAUGCCAAGGAUUUGGGUUCUUAAAGUUUGCGAUUAAUCUGGAGGUAAGUAUUAAGUUUAUUGUUAUAAUUGCAUUCUUUUUCCUUUCUUCCAGUUCAUUUGCCGGUCCGAGAAUGAUUGCCAGGUGGCCUGUCAGGAAGUCGGGUCGUCGUAUAUUCCCAGAAGGCGGAUGUGGCAAAAGCAUUCACUGUUGUUCCUGUCGCUGUUUUUAUUGUUGCUGCUGUUUCCUUGUGUUGCCGACUCGUUAUCACGCUCGGCUAGAAGGUGAUUCCUGUGUCGCAACUCGCCUUGAUGAAGCUCUGCAUGUUGUUGGUGAUUCCGGCGCCUAAUCCCAGGCAAGGCUGCCAUCAGACAUGAUCUCCGUACGUUUAGUGUCGCUAAUCAUCGGCCAUUCGGUCCAUUCAGUCCUGAUGCAGGUAUCCCUACUUUAGCAGGAGGGAAAAGCAUGCGCCGCAGUUCAGUUGCUUUUACAGGAACACACCGGUUUUCAGGAAUGAAAUUUUAUUGUAUAUUUUAGGAAAGAGAAGGAAAACUAAUAAAUUAUUUUCUUUCUUUCAGGAAAGCGGUGGUGAAGAGCCAGACAAAGCGGCAAAUGGAGCCAUCAUAAAGCGGAGAUUGU